GACGAACGCUGGCGGCGUGCUUAACACAUGCAAGUCGAACGGAAAGGCCCUGCUUUUGUGGGGUGCUCGAGUGGCGAACGGGUGAGUAACACGUGAGUAACCUGCCCUUGACUUUGGGAUAACUUCAGGAAACUGGGGCUAAUACCGGAUAGGAGCUCCUGCUGCAUGGUGGGGGUUGGAAAGUUUCGGCGGUUGGGGAUGGACUCGCGGCUUAUCAGCUUGUUGGUGGGGUAGUGGCUUACCAAGGCUUUGACGGGUAGCCGGCCUGAGAGGGUGACCGGCCACAAUGGGACUGAGAGACGGACCAGACUCCUACGGGAGGCAGCAGUGGGGAAUAUUGCACAAUGGGCGGAAGCCUGAUGCAGAAACGCCGCGUGCGGGAUGACGGCCUUCGGGUUGUAAACCGCUUUCGCCUGUGACGAAGAGUGAGUGACGGUAAUGGGUAAAGAAGCACCGGCUAACUACGUG
rnacentral:rRNA from 1 species